AUGCUCCAUUAUUUCUAUGUAAUACAAAGUAACAUUGCUACAAACUUCAUUUUGAACUUCACAUUAAACUGCUUCUGUUUCACACAAAUCCCGGCACAGAUGUGCAUGUUUAGAUCAAACUCAUAGAAAAUAACCAAAACAAUCCAAGGUUUUUAUUUAGCACAGUGGCUAGAUUAAUGAAUAACCAGACGCCACCUGAUUUUAAUAUUCCAUCAACAUUUAAUAGUAAUGACUUUAUGAAGAUGAGUAAGUUUUUUAGUAAAGCUGAAAGAUUUACAGACAGUUGAGGUCCUUCAGACAUCGUACUACACCAGACAGCAAAUUAAGGCCUUUAAAAGUCUGGAGGCAUACAACUUUUUUGUCAAUGGGUGGGUCCACAACCUCUGUGUCCAACGGCUCCACGAUGAUCAUCGUUUGGUCUUCGCCAGAGUGAGUCUUUGUUUUUAUAUUGUUUUAUGUGCUAAGAUGCUAGCAGUAACGCAGCACAUCUUAACGAUGGCGUUAGUCUGACAGUCUUUAAUGUUUCAAGGUAAAAGACUCUCAGAGGUCAAGCGAAACACUUCUGAAGACCUGGAUUAUUGUGAAGGAGGAUGGAGAAGUCAUUGCAGCUCAUUGCAAUUGCAUGGCAGUACUAUCAGAAUCGUGUUCUCAUGUAGAGGCAGUUCUUUUUUCCAUUGAAGUUGGGGUAAAGAUGCAAGAUUCAGCUUCCUGCACAACAGAGAAGUGCAAGUGGCUGAUGCCAUCACAUGUAAAAAAGUUAUGGAUGCAAACAUGAAGCACAAGCCAGAGGAGCAUAUGAGAAGCUGAUGGUUCAGGAGCAUGCAGGCUUCUCCUAUAUGGGCAGUGGUCUCUGGCUGAACCCCAAGUGGCCAUACAUGGGGUCCUCCCCUGAUGGGGUUGUCGCUUGUGACUGUCACGGAACUGGCAUCUGCGAGAUUAAGGUAACAUUACAAUCUCUGUUGUAGUAAAUUCCCUAUAUCUCGAGUACGAGUUAAGUCUCAAGUCCGAAACUGAGCAAAAAGGCAGAAAUUAUCUUUGUUAAAGGAAAACGAAUCUUAACUUAGACAAAUUAAAACGUUCCUGUCUUUCAAUUUGUGUGCACUUCAUCUUCACCCAGGGCGUUGUGAAUGUGUUAGCAUUAAGCCUAGCCCCAUUCAUUCUUUAGUAACCAAACAGUGAAGAAUUUAGAAGCCACCAAACACGUCCUUGUUUUCCCUAUUUAAAGACCGUUACAUGAGU